rnacentral:rRNA from 1 species
GACGAACGCUGGCGGCAUGCCUAACACAUGCAAGUCGAACGGAGAUUACUUCGGUAAUCUUAGUGGCGAAAGGGUGAGUAACGCGUGGGCAACCUGCCCUCUAGAUGGGGACAACAUCCCGAAAGGGGUGCUAAUACCGAAUGUGACAGCAAUCUCGCAUGAGGAUGCUGUGAAAGAUGGCCUCUAUUUAUAAGCUAUCGCUAGAGGAUGGGCCUGCGUCUGAUUAGCUAGUUGGUGGGGUAACGGCCUACCAAGGCGAUGAUCAGUAGCCGGUCUGAGAGGAUGAACGGCCACAUUGGGACUGAGACACGGCCCAGACUCCUACGGGAGGCAGCAGUGGGGAAUCUUCCGCAAUGGGCGAAAGCCUGACGGAGCAAUGCCGCGUGAGUGAUGAAGGAAUUCGUUCCGUAAAGCUCUUUUGUUUAUGACGAAUGUGCAGAUUGUAAAUAAGAAUCUGUAAUGACGGUAGUAAACGAAUAAGCCACGGCUAACUACGUG